rnacentral:rRNA from 1 species
CCUACGAGAGGCAGCAGUGGGGAAUAUUGCGCAAUGGGCGCAAGCCUGACGCAGCGACGCCGCGUGAGGGAUGAAGGUCUUCGGAUCGUAAACCUCUGUCAGCAGGGAAGAACGGUCACUGUGCUAAUCAGCAGUGAAUUGACGGUACCUGCAAAGGAAGCACCGGCUAACUUCGUGCCAGCAGCCGCGGUAGUACGGAGGGUGCGAGCGGUAAUCCGAAUUACUGGGCGUAAAGCGCUCGUAGGCGGUAUGGCAAGUCAAGGGUGAAAUCCCCGCGCUCAACGUGGGAACUGACUUUGAAACUGGCAACCUGGAGUGUGUGAGAGGAUAGUGGAAUUACAGGUGUAGGAGUGAAAUCCGUAGAGAUCAGGAGGAACAUCAGUGGCGAAGGCGACUAUCUGGCACAUAACUGACGCUGAGGAGCGAAAGCGUGGGUAGCAAACAGGAUUAGAUACCCGGGUAGUC